UGGCAUCUGACGUGGCAGAUGACGUGGCAUGAAUAUAUGUGUAAGUAAAGCAUCGAUCGGACAAAGUAGACGUGCUGGAAGAAAAAAAAAAGUAAACGUGUGGAAAGCAGAAAACAUACGUGGUUUAGGAGAUUGAAUCACCAGUUUUUCAUGAUGGAUGAAAAUUCCAGAAGAAAGGAGAGAAUAGAGAUCCUUCAAGUUGCUUGUGUUGGUUAAUAGAAACUUUGACAUACCAAUUAUCUUCUUGUAAUCUACAAAAGCAUUAA
rnacentral:lncRNA from 1 species